rnacentral:rRNA from 1 species
CCUACGGGUGGCAGCAGUGAGGAAUAUUGGUCAAUGGACGAGAGUCUGAACCAGCCAAGUCGCGUGAAGGAUGACUGCCCUAUGGUUUGUAAACUUUUUUUAUAUGGGGAUAAAAGGUUACACGUGUGGGCUUUUGUAUGUACCAUAUGAAUAAGGAUCGGCUAACUCCGUGCCAGCAGCCGCGGUAAUACGGAGGGUCGGAGCGUUAUGUGGAUUUAUUGGGCUUAAAGGGAGCGUAGGUGGAUUGUUAAGUCAGAUGUGAAAGUUUGCGGCUCAACCGUAAAAUUGCAGUUGAAACUGGCAGUCUUGAGUACAGUAGAGGUGGGUGGAAUUCGUGGUGUAGCGGUGAAAUGCGUAGAUAUCACGAGGAACUCCGAUUGCGAAGGCAGCUCACUGGACUGAAACUGACACUGAGGCGCGAAAGUGUGGGUAGCAAACAGGAUUAGAUACCCCAGUAGUC